rnacentral:rRNA from 1 species
CCUACGGGUGGCUGCAGUGAGGAAUAUUGGUCAAUGGCCGAAAGCCUGAACCAGCCAAGUCGCGUGAGGGAUGACGGCCCUAUGGAUUGUAAACCUCUUUUGUCGGGGAGCAAAGUGAGGCACGUGUGCCUCAUUGUGUGUACCCUAAGAAUAAGCAUCGGCUAACUCCGUGCCAGCAGCCGCGGUAAUACGGAGGAUGCGAGCGUUAUCCGGAUUUAUUGGGUUUAAAGGGUGCGUCGGCGGGAGGUGAAGUCAGCAGUGAAAAUUGCGGGCUCAACCCCCGAACUGCCGUUGAAACUGGAGCCCUUGAGUGUGUGAGAAGCAGGCGGAAUGCGUGGUGUAGCGGUGAAAUGCAUAGAUAUCACGCAGAACCCCGAUUGCGAAGGCAGCAUACCGGGGCGUAACUGACGCUCAUGCACGAAAGCGUGGGUAUCGAACAGGAUUAGAUACCCUAGUAGUC